rnacentral:tRNA from 1 species
GCGUCGGUAGCUCAGCGGUAGAGCACUCGGCUUACACCCGAGCGGUCGGCGGUUCGAAACCGUCCCGACGCACCA